rnacentral:snRNA from 1 species
GUGCUCGCUUUGGCAGCACAUACACUACAACUGGAAUGAUACAGAGAAGAUUAGCAUGGCCCCUGUGCAAGGAUGACAUGCAAAUUUUUUUAAAAAGUUUGU